rnacentral:rRNA from 1 species
ACGAACGCUGGCGGCGUGCUUAACACAUGCAAGUCGAACGGAAAGGCCCUGCUUUUGUGGGGUGCUCGAGUGGCGAACGGGUGAGUAACACGUGAGUAACCUGCCCUUGACUUUGGGAUAACUUCAGGAAACUGGGGCUAAUACCGGAUAGGAGCUCCUGCUGCAUGGUGGGGGUUGGAAAGUUUCGGCGGUUGGGGAUGGACUCGCGGCUUAUCAGCUUGUUGGUGGGGUAGUGGCUUACCAAGGCUUUGACGGGUAGCCGGCCUGAGAGGGUGACCGGCCACAUUGGGACUGAGAUACGGCCCAGACUCCUACGGGAGGCAACAGUGGGGAAUAUUGCACAAUGGGCGGAAGCCUGAUGCAGCAACGCCGCGUGCGGGAUGACGGCCUUCGGGUUGUAAACCGCUUUCGCCUGUGACGAAGCGUGAGUGACGGUAAUGGGUAAAGAAGCACCGGCUAACUACGUG